rnacentral:rRNA from 1 species
UACGUAGGGACCGAGCGUUGUCCGGAAUCAUUGGGCGUAAAGAGCGUGUAGGCGGCUUGUUAAGUCUUGCGUGAAAUCUCGGGGCUCAACCCCGAGCGGUCGUGAGAAACUGGCAGGCUAGAGUGCGGGAGAGGAGAGUGGAAUUCCUGGUGUAGCGGUGAAAUGCGCAGAUAUCAGGGGGAACACCGGUGGCGAAGGCGGUUCUCUGGGCCUUACCUGACGCUGAGGAGCGAAAGCGUGGGGAGCAAACAGG